rnacentral:rRNA from 1 species
GUCGAGAGGCUUCGGCAAUGGGGGAAACCCUGACCGAGCGACGCCGCGUGCAGGAUGAAGGCCCUUGGGUUGUAAACUGCUUUUGUCGGGGAAGAAAUGCGAUCAGGUGAACAAUCUGGUCGUUUGACGGUACCCGACGAAUAAGCUCCGGCUAACUCCGUGCCAGCAGCCGCGGUAACACGGGGGGAGCAAGCGUUGUUCGGAAUCACUGGGCGUAAAGGGCGUGUAGGCGGUCAGGUAAGUGGGAUGUGAAAGCCCCCGGCUCACCCGGGGAUCUGCAUCCCAAACUGCCUGGCUUGAGUACGGGAGAGGAUAGGGGAAUUCCUGGUGUAGCGGUGAAAUGCGUAGAUAUCAGGAGGAACACCGGUGGCGAAGGCGCCUAUCUGGCCCGAUACUGACGCUGAGGCGCGAAAGCUAGGGGAGCAAACGGGAUUAGAAACCCUAGUAGUCC